rnacentral:rRNA from 1 species
AGCGAACGUUAGCGGCGGGCCUAACACAUGCAAGUCGAACGGGCUGUAGCAAUACAGUCAGUGGCGCACGGGUGCGUAACGCGUAGAUAAUCUACCUCUCAGUGGGGGAUAACUAGGGGAAACUCUAGCUAAUACCGCAUAAGACCACGGAGUCUUCGGGCUUUUGAGGGAAAAGGCGGCCUCUGAAUAUGCUGUCGCUGGGAGAUGAGUCUGCGUCCCAUCAGCUAGUUGGUGAGGUAAUGGCUCACCAAGGCAAAGACGGGUAGCUGGUCUGAGAGGAUGAUCAGCCACACUGGCACUGGAACACGGGCCAGACUCCUACGGGAGGCAGCAGUGGGGAAUAUUGGGCAAUGGGCGGAAGCCUGACCCAGCCACGCCGCGUGAGUGAUGAAGGCC